rnacentral:piRNA from 1 species
UUACAGAGAAACGCCACACCCUGAGA